GAAGAUCUGUGAAGUUAUUUGGAUUUUUACGAAUGAUCUUUGAAAGACGGGGUCCUGAAAAAGGGACGUUUCUUUUUGUGCUGAGUUUAGAAGAGUUCGCUCUCACACAAUUUCUCAUAAUGUGUUUGUUUGAUUCUGGUGAGUUCUUACUCACUAUUUUCUUCACAUGAAAUUGUCGUUCUCACUCUUGCUGCCAUGUGUCCUAAAAGGGAGAUUCCUUUUUUGGAUAGUUAUCCCUAGGCGGUAGCAUGGACGGACUAGCAGGCAGGGAAACCGAGCUAAUAACGUUGGUUGGAUUUCUAGAUGGGGCAUUUUGCUGUAGUGUUCCUAUUCAAGGCUCUUUACCCAAGUUGCCUCAAAUAUAUCUAACUGUACAAAUGUUAAAUUUGAGCCAUGAUAUAAGUGAAUUGGCAAGGCAGUGAGCAUUUGCUUGUUUCCUCUGCUGUGUAUGUUUGUGCCUGACAGAUAGACCGACUUGUGAUACUGUAGACUUCCUCAAAAGUUCUCGUUUAAGCUGCCCUCAACGGAGCCUUUUUUCCCCCCUGAAUUCACAUUUUUUUAUGAUAUAUUAUUUCUUCUAUCGUUAGAAAGUUUUAUCAAUGAGGUCAUGCAUUGUCCUAAAUGCGAAUAAUAACUAAGAAUUCAAAGUAAACCAUGUGAUAUGAAUAAUAUCAGCAAUGCCAUUGAAAGGGUUUUAAAGGCUUCGUGUUAUUUGGUUUUUGAGGGAGUUGAAAACAUCCAUGAAACCAAGGAACUGUUGCUCAGCCAUCACAAAGGGUUGUGAUUUAUACAUUUUCUUGUAUCCAUGUGAUGCAUUUAAUCAUCACAUUGCCCUUCAUGUUAAAACAUUUUCUUUUUGAAAAAUUGUCAUGUGUAAGAAAACGAAAUGGAUUUAUACAGAGCUGUCAUGUAAAUAGUUAUUUAAAAAAUAAACAUUUUGAAAAACUAUCCUGCUAUGGGUAAGUUGAUUUAAGUUG